GGGGAUGAAGCUCAUCCGGUAGAGCAUCUGGCGUGCACCCAGAAGGCGGCAGGUUCGACUCCUGUCAUCUCCA
rnacentral:tRNA from 1 species